rnacentral:rRNA from 1 species
UACGAAGGGGGCUAGCGUUGCUCGGAAUCACUGGGCGUAAAGCGCACGUAGGCGGAUCGUUAAGUCGGAGGUGAAAUCCUGGAGCUCGACUCCAGAACUGCCUUCGAUACUGGCGAUCUUGGAGUCCGGGAGAGGUGAGUGGAACUCCGAGUGUAGAGGUGAAAUUCGUAGAUAUUCGGAAGAACACCAGUGGCGAAGGCGGCUCACUGGCCCGGUACUGACGCUGAGGUGCGAAAGCGUGGGGAGCAAACAGG